AACCGUGACCCCCAUGGCGACAACAAAUCUCCUUCUCUUAAAAAUCACUCACGGACCCCAAAGAAAACCCUCAUCUUUGUUUUCAUCCUUUUCUUCUCUUCUCUUCACCUACGACACAUAAGUGGGUUUGAGGGCCAAGUGUGAGAGAGAGAUUGGGAGAGAAGUGAGGUUUCAGAGUUUGAGAGUUGGAGGAAGUUGGUGGUGGCGGCUGGUGAUGGCGUGAGCACUGGCUGGUGGCGGUGCGACUAGCAACGCCAGUGGUGGUCGGUGGCUAGGUUGGUGGUGACCCUUGAGAAGGGAGAACAAAGAGGAGACAACCACAGAAGCAAGGGUUUGCAGAAAGAGCUCCCGACUAUGAAACAUCGACGACAAGUCCCCGCAUUGUUACCACACUCAAUUUUUUGUGCUCUACGCAAUGGACCGAGCGGAAUCACGUUUUGGGGUAAGUUUUGUCGACCCUCUUCUACCCAC
rnacentral:lncRNA from 1 species